UGGCGGACGGGUGAGUGACGCGUGGGUAACCUGCCUUACACAGGGGGAUAACACUUAGAAAUAGGUGCUAAAACCGCAUAAGCGCACAGCUUCGCAUGAAGCGGUGUGAAAAACUCCGGUGGUGUAAGAUGGACCCGCGUCUGAUUAGCUUGUUGGCGGGGUAACGGCCCACCAAGGCGACGAUCAGUAGCCGGCCUGAGAGGGCGGACGGCCACAUUGGGACUGAGACACGGCCCAAACUCCUACGGGAGGCAGCAG
rnacentral:rRNA from 1 species